rnacentral:rRNA from 1 species
UACGAAGGGGGGCUAGCGUUGCUCGGAAUCACUGGGCGUAAAGCGCACGUAGGCGGAUGUUUAAGUCAGAGGUGAAAGCCUGGAGCUCAACUCCAGAACUGCCUUUGAUACUGGCGACCUAGAGUUCGGAAGAGGUUAGUGGAAUUCCCAGUGUAGAGGUGAAAUUCGUAGAUAUUGGGAAGAACACCAGUGGCGAAGGCGGCUAACUGGUCCGAUACUGACGCUGAGGUGCGAAAGCGUGGGGAGCAAACAGG